ensembl:snRNA U6 U6 spliceosomal RNA
GUGCCCACUUCGGCAGCACAUACGCUAGAAGUGGAACAAUACAGAGACGAUUCGCAUGGCCACUGUGCAAGGAUGACAGGCAAAUUCAUCACGCUCUCCACAAAAAC